ensembl:lncRNA
CAAACAAGCAAGUGAAACAAAUCUGAACAUACCUUAAAGAUGUUUCACUUUCCCAGAUAUUUUCUGGACUUGGGCAAGAGAGGAACUACCUUUUCCCGACGCCUUUGCAUUUCUGACUUGACAGUUUUUGUUAACAGCAUCUUUUGGCGAACACAGAGCGGAGCGGCGGAGAGAACCGAGACGCCGCUACAACUAGUCACUCAGGAUCCCAUCGCUGAAGAGCACAGCUGGAAAAGUCAGGUGACAUUCGAGCUGGGUAGACAAUGAUUCGGAAAACCCUGAAGAAGGAAAAUGGAUUUUCUAGGGCCGGGGCACACCUGCGCGGUGGGUGGGUGGACAGCUCGCGAG